GAUGAACGCUGGCGGCGUGCCUAACACAUGCAAGUCGAACGAUUAAGACGGCUUCGGCCGUGUAUAGAGUGGCGAACGGGUGAGUAACACGUGACCAACCUACCCCUUGCUUCGGGACAACCGCGGGAAACCACGGCUAAUACCGAAUACUUCAAAACUUUCGCAUGGAAGCUUUGAGAAAGUUCAGGCGGCAAGGGAUGGGGUCGCGUCCCAUUAGGUAGACGGCGAGGUAAUGGCUCACCGUGCCUGCGAUGGGUAGCCGGGUUGAGAGACCGAACGGCCACAUUGGGACUGAGAUACGGCCCAGACUCCUACGGGAGGCAGCAGUGGGGAAUUUUGCGCAAUGGGGGAAACCCUGACGCAGCAACGCCGCGUGCGGGAUGACGGCCUUCGGGUUGUAAACCGCUUUCAGCAGGGAAGAUACAAGACGGUACCUGCAGAAGAAGCUCCGGCUAACUACGUGCCAGCCGCCGCCGUAAAAC
rnacentral:rRNA from 1 species